CCCCCCACCAUGAGGGAUAAUGCGCGUUGAUUGGCUUUUCGUCCUAUCGCUCUUGACUGUGACCAAUCAGAGCCACAAGCGGUGACCAGACGGGCCGGGUGGGGGCGGGGCCUCGCCGCUCGGUGCCCAGCGUGGUGGGGCGCUGAGGUACUUCCCGCCCUCACUGCGCCGCAGCAGCUGAUAGUCUGUCCCUUCGCACCUCUUCUCCACCGGGAGAGCCCCCGGGAAAGCCAUUUUUCUUCCCAAAGGGAAACUUAGGCCAGUUUCCCAGAGGGUCUGAUGGCACGAAAAGGCUGAGGAGCCUCAAGGCUGGCCCAGUGCCUCUGAGAAGCGGGUGAAGUCAUGGCCUGUUGCUUUGAUAAGAGGUGCUGUUCUCCUCCUGUUGGCUUCAGGUGACUCAGCAGUAGUAUGUGGCUGACAUUAAAUUAGAGUCACGUUUACGUAACACGUCAUAGUUUCGACGAGCUGUAACCACAGAGCUGAUGGGAGACUGUGGGGGUGUUUUUACCUCAGAAGGUUCUCUGUUGGGGCUGCCCACGCAGCCGAGAAGCAACUGAAGGGACUCUGCUUUCUUUUUGAGCUGCUUAAAACACAAUGGAAUGAGUGCCCAUGUGCAAGCUUUGGUAGCAGAACAGCUUCAGGGGUUGGCCUUCGUGAGAAGAGACCUCCAUCUCCAACAGAGCCAGUGAUCUCUGAAAUACACCUGCUGCAGGAUAAAGAUCGAAAAGAAAUAUCUUCCUGGCAGCACUGCGUAUGGAAGGAAUAAGGAAAGUAACAAGGAGAAAGUUGCGCGCAUUUACAAUUGUAUUGAGUAAAAACUGGAGUUGUAUGGCCAUCGCAACUUCUUGGGAGCCAAAGAUACCUAUGAGGAAACAUGGCGGUGAACUACCCUUUCUUUGAAAAACAGAAGUUAGAUAAAAUGCUGGUCAACUGUGGACUUCCUUUUCAGCAUACUCUUGGUAACAGAGAGAAAAAAAGCUUAAAUUUUGUGUCCUGUGCUAGCACGUGUACUGACUGAAUUCAAAGUCCUGUCUUCUCCUAAGAGCAUACUCGGAGUCAACUGUCCUACAAAUGAGGUCAGGAUUUCCCCUACCACAAACUACUCCUUUUAUCUUCCUUAUUAUGUGCAGUAUCUUCUAGCUAAGAAAACCCCAGAUCCUACUGUCUACUUCUAUUUAACUCUUGCUAGGCC
rnacentral:lncRNA from 1 species